UAAACACUUCAGAAAUUGUAUUCAACAUAAAGAAUUGGAGUUAAAAUUGCAGAUAUAACAGAUAUAUUCAUGCAAUAUGCAAUUCUUUCUGCAGCUUUUUUAAUUUAAAUUAUAUGUUUUUCUUGAAUAUUUAUGGUAUCAGACAUAGAUAUUCAUAUGCAUUAUAACUUGUACACAAGACACAACAAAGUAAAUGUCAAAGUAAACAAUUUAUUAACAGCACAAUUUUUAAAGGCACUAUUGAACACAAGUAAAACAAUUGAUAACAAAGAUGACUUAAAAUGUAUAUGGUGAUGUUACAUUGGUUAAUAACUGUUAAUAACAAAAGUACAUGUCUUUUUAUGAAGAUAUCAAAACUGGUCAUCUUUCAUAUAAAGAACUUUAAAACAAAUUUCAACAGCACAAAUCCUAAUGAGACAAUUUAAAUUGGUAUUAAUUAAACACACUUUAUUUUAGUUUUAUAGAUUAUUGCACUUUCUUUUGAUGAUAGUUCUCAAUAUGUAACUGGGCGUUGGAAAGUUCGGAACAUUGUUAUGCUGAGUCAUAGUUGAGUCUAGAAAUCUUAAAACAUCUUCAAUAUGGCUAUGUAAACAGAAACAUCAGUUACAAAGAAACUUCAACAACUGCAUUGUCAGUUAAUAUUGUUUUUCCUUACUUAAAUGACAAAAAAUGACAAUAACUAUACAAAAGCACUCUUCACAUAUUAUAAUAAUACUAAAACAUCAUUUUUGACUAGAUUAACAAAACACUUGACCACUCACGUGUUUACAAGGUCGAGUAAAUUAAGUUAAAUACAUAGUUUUACUACUUAAAAACAAAUCACACACACACAACUUUUACCCCAAAAAAUUAAUGAUUGAUAAAAUGAAAUCAUUUUUCAUAUAUUCUUUUAAGAACUGCGAUUUUAAAUUGUUAAAAAUUAUUUGUUUUUACCAUAAUUUGAUUUGUAUUUAUACAUGAACUUUUCAUUGUAUAUACAUGUAACAAUAUCAUUAUUCCCCUACAACUAAUGUUUGAUGUUUGGUCCCAUUAUAUGAUUUAAAAUGAAGGAACAUGAAAAACAACCCUACCAUUAGGAUGGCAUUAUAACUUAUUAAGUUUAUGAUAAAAACUGAUACAACUUCAUAUUUUUAACUCCGUCAGCCUUUACAUAGCUCAUGGAUUGAUGUUUAGAAACAAUUAUUGAGUUUGAAAUAAAAAUUAAAUAUCAAAGCAUUGUUUAACUGUACAGUUUUGUCACUCUCUUAUUAGACUGUUUUUCUAUUGACAAAUUAAUUUUUAUUUUCAGCAUUUCAAAUUUCUAAUAAAAAAAUGAAAAAAGUAUUUUAUUCAUUUUUAAAGCUGAAUAUACUUGACUGCUUUGUUUCCGUGAACAAUUAAGUGGACAAUAGAUGACAUACUUCUCAAUUAAAUCACUUAAUUCAAAUAAAACGAUAUUGUUAAAGUAACGUUAUAUUGCGUAGAAAGAAGAUUCGUUGCAAGACUUGGUAAACUGUUUCUAUAGUAAUAUUUUAAUAUAACAGCUGCUUUUAUCCAAUUUCUUCCAUAUCAGACUACAAUUUUCAGAUGUGAUCAAGAUCAACACUGCACAUCAAGUUCAAUAAAAUCUAGUGGUUUCUUGUUUGUUUCCAUUUAAAGGGGCUCACGGGUCUAAAUCAAAUUUUUUAUUUAAUAUAGGAUUUCGCUAUAUUUUUCUAUAAAUGAACUUUAUACUGAUUAGAACCAGAUGCUCCGCAGGGCACAGCUUUAUACGACCGCAUAGGUUGAACCUCGAACGGUUGGGGCAAGUAUGGACACAACAUUCAAGCUGGAUUCAGCUCUAAAUUUAGAUUGUGAUUAAAUAGUUGACACAGCAUAGGUUUUGGACACAGAAUGAAUGUGGUCUAAUGAACUUAAAAUAAUUUUUUUGUCUUUGAGCAAUCACUAUGCUGUUGAAUAUUAAUCCUCUCAAAAAAAUAUUUGAAGAAAUUUUCUUUUUAUUUAUGAAAUCUGAAAUGAGAAAAAUUAACCCCCCCCCCCCACCCCAUUUUUUUUUCACAUCCCCCUUUCCCUUUUUUCAAAAAACUGAUCUCAAUUCAA
rnacentral:lncRNA from 1 species